AGAGUACGGUUCAGAUGGAGGUGACUUUGAGGUUUGAUGCUUGUUCGCCGGUGAGGUGCUGCCUGUGGUUUGGAGCCAAGCUACGCUGGAGCCCAAAGCCCUUAUUUAUUUUUUGAUGCAUGUCGUUAAACGUUAGUUAUCAUUUAUUGAUGUUUUUAAGAACAAUGGUGAUGUAAUCAACUUUAUCUAUUGGUGUAUCCCGGCUGGUCCUAGACAGGGAUUUUUAUAUAGAAUAAAGUUUGGAAAUUCGUGUAAGGAAUUUCUGGGCAUGACAGUAAUAAGAGAAUAGUUUCCAAUAGGCUUUCGCAUUUUGUGCUGAUAGUGAUAUUUAAAAUUUUGUAAGAUCAAGGGGUGAUCUAUAUGUUUUAAUGAUGAACAAUUGGUGACUUAUGUUUUUGAAUAAGUGUUUUGUGAUAAGUUGACCAGGCGGUCAGACUGCAAGUAUACGAGCGAUCAGAUCUUUGGGACACUUGUGGUCAAACCGCAGGUAUCUUUUGAGGCCUCAGAAGGUUGUUGCCGCUGAUGGAUCAGAGUCGGCUAGCUAGGAAGUAGUUGAUGUCCAGGGAUACUAAAGGUAGAGGAUAAUGCAUGCGGAGAUUAAGCUUCCAUAUAGCAUACGAGAGGGAUCGUGUGCAUAUGGAUAAUGUGAAGUUGAAUUUGGAAAGGAGUCCGGAUAUGAGAAGAUUGGUUGCAUUAGAGAUAAGCAUAUGUUGGUUAUGGAUAAGAAAAGAUUUCCCACAGGAUUGAGAGUCCUAAUUCAUACUAGAAUAUGUGAGCUUUGCACAAUCACAUUGCGGUUAUAAAUAGUUAACGAGAGGAUCCCGACGAUCCAACCGCAGACAAGGGGACAAUCUGACUGGAUGUAUACAAGCAGUCUGACCAGCUAGACGACAACGGUCUGACCGGCGGUAUAAGCGCAGUGCGACCGACAGCUUCGUGAAGGCUUUUAGUGGAGGUAAUCUUUUAUUAUGGAAAAGAUUUUUUGGACUUUGGUUUUUCUUACCAUUCACCUCCUCUGGUAGGUUUGUUUGGUCUUGUUCGAUCAUACAAAUUUAUGUUCACAAAUUAUUUUUUUGUUUGUAAUUAUGUCGUCAAUCACCCCAAUAUCAGUUGCAUAUACUGGAGAGCGUUGAAUACUGAUUAUGAGGUUAAUUGUUGCAAAUGUACCAUGAAAAAGUUGGAUGCAGAGUCAUUUGCCCUGAAAAGUGGUGCCAUCUAAACCGUGGCCUUGCACGAAUUGUUUGGUUGGACUUGGAUGGAGGCUGUCUAAUAAUCCUAAUGCAGUGGUCGUAUGGAGAUCAUGGAAUGAAAUGUAGGGUAUGAAGGUAAUGGCAUGCAUAAGGUUCGUUCUUAAUUGCUUUGUAUACAUUUAGAUGGGACAAAAGAUAAGCUGCAAAUGAGAAACUCAAGUAUUGAAAACAGCAUCGGUUCUUAUUUGUUCCUUUUUCCAUUCCAAAAUAUAAACAUUUAUGACAUUUGAAUCAUGUACUAAAAUAUUGUUGACACCAUUUUUAGUAUCACUUAUCUUAUCAUCACGU